rnacentral:rRNA from 1 species
GAGACAGCAGCCGCCGCGGGAAUACGGAGGGUGCAAGCGUUAAUCGGAAUUACUGGGCGUAAAGCGCACGCAGGCGGUCUGACAAGUCAGAUGUGAAAUCCCCGGGCUUAACCUGGGAACUGCAUUUGAAACUGUCAGGCUGGAGUCUUGUAGAGGGGGGUAGAAUUCCAGGUGUAGCGGUGAAAUGCGUAGAGAUCUGGAGGAAUACCGGUGGCGAAGGCGGCCCCCUGGACAAAGACUGACGCUCAGGUGCGAAAGCGUGGGGAGCAAACAGGAUUAGAUACCCCUGUAGUCCCUGUCUCUUAUAC